GUGUCGAGUAUUACGUGAACGAGAACACGUUCAAGGAACGACUUCAGCUGUACUUCAUCAAGAACCAACGUUCGAGUUUGAGGAUACGAUUGGCUAACCUGUUCUUCAAGCUGCUAACAUGCUUCUUAUACAUAUUCAGAGUGAUCACCGACAACGAUCCUACUUACGCAGCAUGUUACGGUUGCACGCCGGGCAACAAAACGGAGUUCCUCGUGUCCCAGAACCUUACCGAG